GCAUGGCAGACGGGUGAGUAACGCGUAGGGAAUCUACCUUUUUGUGGGGAAUAACGCUCCGAAAGGAGUGGUAACACCGCAUGAGACCGCAGACUGGGAUGUUUGUGGUGAAACCUGGGGACCGCAAGGCCUGGGGCAAGAAGAGGAUCCUGCGUCUGAUUAGCUAGUUGGCGGGGUAAUGGCCCACCAAGGCGACGAUCAGUAGCCGGCCUGAGAGGGUGAUCGGCCACACUGGAACUGAGACACGGUCCAGACUCCUACGGGAGGCAGCAGUGGGGAAUUUUGCGCAAUGGACGAGAGUCUGACGCAGCAACGCCGCGUGGGUGAUGAAGGUCUUCGGACUGUAAAACCCUGUCGUCAGGGACGAAGGUAUGGGAGUUAAUAGCUCUUAUGCUUGACGGUACCUGGAGAGGAAGCCCCGGCUAACUCUGUGCCAGCAGCCGCGGUAAUACAGAGGGGGCAAGCGUUAUUUGGAAUUAUUGGGCGUAAAGGGCGCGUAGGCGGUUUUUUAAGUCAGAUGUGUAAUCCCCGAGCUCAACUUGGGAACUGCAUCUGAGACUGGAAGGCUAGAGUACUGGAGAGGGUGGUGGAAUUCCUCGUGUAG
rnacentral:rRNA from 1 species